UGUUUAUUGCUUCUAAGCAAUUUUUCGUUGGUUUUAUCCUCUUUUGGGAUAAAAUGGGUAUAAGUGUUGUCUAACCACUCCGAAUCCAUCUUUAACUCUUAUAAUUAGUCAAAUGCAUUGGAUUGUGACAUAUUUUGACCAAAUAAACCCUAACAAAGCUAUUGACUGCUUCUAAGCAUUUUUUUGUUGGUUUUAGCCUCUUUUGAGAGGAAAUGAGUAUAAAUGUUGUCUAAACACUCCUAAUCCUUCUUUGACUCUUCUAAUUAUUCAUGUGCAUUGGAUUCUUACACAUUUUAACCAAAGAAACACUAACAAAGCUAUUCACUGCUUCUAAGCAAAUUUUUUGUUGGUUUUAGCCUCUUUUGAGAGAAAAUGGGUGUAAAUGUUGUCUGAACACUCUUAAUCCAUCUCUAACUCAAAUAAUUUUUCCAAUGCAUUGGAUUGUAACACAUUUUGACUAAAGAAACACUAACAAAGAUAUUGAGUGCUUCUAAGCAAUGUUUUGUUGGUUUUAGCCUCUUUUGGAAGAAAAUGGGUGUAAGUGUUGUCUGAACACUCCUAAUCCAUCUCUAACUCAUAUAAUUAUUCAAAUGCAUUGGAUUGUGACACAUUUCGACCAAAGAAACACUAACAAAGCUAUCGACUGCUUCUAAGUAAUGUUUUGUUGGUUUUAGCCUCUUUUGUGACAAAAUGAGUGUAAGUGUUGUCUGAACACUCUUAAUCCAUCUCGAACUCUUAUAAUUAUUCAAAUGCAUUGGAUUGAGACACAGUUUGACCAUAUAAACACUAACAAAGCUGUUUACUGUUUCUAAGCAAA
rnacentral:sRNA from 1 species